rnacentral:lncRNA from 1 species
AGUUUGAGCAUUCAAUCAAAGGAAUUGAUUCCUUGUAGUUGAGCAUUUAAGUGUUCACUUCAGAAGAUCUAUCAAGAAUGGUUCAGUUUCGCUAAUUCAGGUAAUAUAUUCUCUCAUUUUUAUGUGUUAUUCAAAUAAGAGAACAAAGGAAUUUUGAAUAAUGGGGUUAUUGGGUACAGAUGUAGAUGAAAGCCUCACUGGAGGAGAUGCCACCAAGCUAUUUGCCAUGUCCAAUUUGCCUCGUCAAGAGCUCAAGCAGGUUCUUUUCUUUUCUACUUCCUUUAUUUCCUUAAUAUCGUUCACUUGUACCCAAUAACCCCAUUAUUCGAGUGAGCCGUUAUUUUCUUAGAUAGUGUAUAUAUGGUCAAAAUUAAUUUAUUAUAUGGCAGAUCUUGAAUCCUCUUGACUCCUUCGUAUGCUUGCAUCUUUAUAUUUUGAAUCUCCCUAUUGAAAAUCCUGUCUCCGCCAUUGCAUGCACCUGUCUAGAAACCUUGUUUUAAUGUUUGUCAAUGCUUUGGCAAGAGCUCAAGUGCAGUAUGUGCUUUGUCUCAAGUUUGUAACACCGACA